UACGGAGGAUGCAAGCGUUAUCCGGAUUUAUUGGGUUUAAAGGGUGCGCAGGUUGUUUGAUAAGUCAGUGGUGAAAGUCUGUCGCUUAACGGUAGGAUUGCUAUUGAUACUGUUAGACUUGAAUAUGGAUGAGGUAGCCGGAAUGUGUAGUGUAGCGGUGAAAUGCAUAGAUAUUAGGAGGAACACCAGUUGCGAAGGCGGCUCUCAGGACUGUAACUGACACUGAGGCACGAAAGCGUGGGGAGCAAACAGGAUUA
rnacentral:rRNA from 1 species